UACAGAGGGUGCAAGCGUUGUUCGGAAUUAUUGGGCGUAAAGGGCGCGUAGGCGGUGCGGUAAGUCUGCAGUGAAAUCUCUGGGCUCAACUCAGAGUCUGCUGUAGAAACUGCCGUGCUUGAGUGUGGGAGAGGUGAGUGGAAUUCCCGGUGUAGCGGUGAAAUGCGUAGAGAUCGGAAAGAACACCAACGGCGAAAGCGCUCUGCUGGGCCGACACUGACACUGAGAGACGAAAGCUAGGGGAGCGAAUGGG
rnacentral:rRNA from 1 species